rnacentral:rRNA from 1 species
UACGUCGGUGGCAAGCGUUGUCCGGAAUUAUUGUGCGUAAAGCGCGCGCAGGCGGUCCUUUAAGUCUGAUGUGAAAGCCCACGGCUCAACCGUGGAGGGUCAUUGGAAACUGGGGGACUUGAGUACAGAAGAGGAAAGCGGAAUUCCACGUGUAGCGGUGAAAUGCGUAGAGAUGUGGAGGAACACCAGUGGCGAAGGCGGCUUUCUGGUCUGUAACUGACGCUGAGGCGCGAAAGCGUGGGGAGCAAACAGG